rnacentral:rRNA from 1 species
AUUGAACGCUGGCGGCAGGCCUAACACAUGCAAGUCGAGCGGAUGAAGGGAGCUUGCUCCUGGAUUCAGCGGCGGACGGGUGAGUAAUGCCUAGGAAUCUGCCUGGUAGUGGGGGAUAACGUCCGGAAACGGGCGCUAAUACCGCAUACGUCCUGAGGGAGAAAGUGGGGGAUCUUCGGACCUCACGCUAUCAGAUGAGCCUAGGUCGGAUUAGCUAGUUGGUGGGGUAAGGGCCUACCAAGGCGACGAUCCGUAACUGGUCUGAGAGGAUGAUCAGUCACACUGGAACUGAGACACGGUCCAGACUCCUACGGGAGGCAGCAGUGGGGAAUAUUGGACAAAGGGCGAAAGCCUGAUCCAGCCAUGCCGCGUGUGUGAAGAAGGUCUUCGGAUUGUAAAGCACUUUAAGUUGGGAGGAAGGGCAGUAAGUUAAUACCUUGCUGUUUUGACGUUACCAACAGAAUAAGCACCGGCUAACAUCGUG